rnacentral:rRNA from 1 species
UAGGGAAUCUUCCACAAUGGACGAAAGUCUGAUGGAGCAACGCCGCGUGAGUGAAGAAGGUUUUCGGAUCGUAAAGCUCUGUUGUUGGUGAAGAAGGAUAGAGGCAGUAACUGGUCUUUAUUUGACGGUAAUCAACCAGAAAGUCACGGCUAACUACGUGCCAGAG